UUACGGCCAUAUCGCGGUGAAACACCGGUUCUCCUGCGAAUCACCGAAGUUAAGCAACGUCGAUCUUGGUUAGUACCUAGAUGGGUGAUCGUUUUGGAAUACCAGGUACUGUAAG